UCCCUGGUGGUCUAGGGGUUAAAACUCUGGGUUCACAAUGCAGGGGGCCCAGGUUCAAUCCCUGGUCAGGGAA
rnacentral:tRNA from 1 species